AGCAGCACUCAGCUAAAAGGAAGACUCACAGAACACAGUUGAAGAAGGAAAGUGGCGAUGGACCUCAUCCCAAAUUUGGCGGUGGAAACCUGGCUUCUCCUGGCUGUCAGCCUGGUGCUCCUCUAUCUGAUGAGAGUCCCCAAAUCAGCGAAGAGUCCACUUACUAAACAGACAUAAGGAAAUGAAGUGUCCUGGAAGAAUUCCUGCCUGAACCUCUCAGGAGCAUUUGAGGACAUUUAUCAAGUAUUCACUCCAGGAUUGGGACUAUGAAGACUUCAGCUGCUUUCAGCUAAUCAUUGAGACUUUUCAGGGGUCUCAGAAUAGUCAGGAAAGGACCUGAUGAGUGAAUGCAAUUACUGAUGUUGGAGUUGCUGUUAUUAUUUAUCGUGUACAUAUUACCUCCCUCUCUUGACCAUUCCAGUUCCUGAGUAACUCACCAGCCCUCUGAUCUAUAAAGUCACAAUCCCUGUGACCUGAUUUCUGUUUCACUUUGUAGAUAUGGGACCCGUACACAUGGACUUUUUAAGAGACUGGGAAUUCCAGGGCCCACACCUCUGCCUUUGUUGGGAAAUGUUUUGUCCUAUCGUCAGGGUCUCUGGAAAUUUGACACAGAGUGCUAUAAAAAGUAUGGAAAAAUGUGGGGAACGUAUGAAGGUCAACUCCCUGUGCUGGCCAUCACAGAUCCCGACGUGAUCAGAACAGUGCUAGUGAAAGAAUGUUAUUCUGUCUUCACA
rnacentral:lncRNA from 1 species